UUGACAGUCAUUAUGUCCUUGAUUGGUU
rnacentral:sRNA from 1 species